rnacentral:lncRNA from 1 species
CCACGCGCUUUCCACCUCCUGCAGGGAACAGUACAGGGCAGAGCCUGCCGGGGUGGGAGGGACUGAGGGAGUGUCCAGGGGAGAAAGUGGUGUCCAAACAAAGCCUUGAGGGGAAGGGCCCUGCUCCACAAAGGCGGGCUGGUUUGCUGAAGCCGGGUAGGCCUUUGUUUGCUCAUUCACCCAGCAUGUGGAUCCAAGCCCUAGACGAGGCACCUAUGAAGUAGAUGAGGGAAGAAUCAAGACUGAUGAUAAGAUUAUUUC